rnacentral:rRNA from 1 species
CCUACGGGUGGCUGCAGUAGGGAAUUUUCGUCAAUGGGCGCAAGCCUGACCGAGCAAUGCCGCGUGAACGAGGAAGGUCUUCGGAUCGUAAAGUUCUGUUGAAGGGGAAAAAGAGCGGAGAGAGGAAAUGCUUUCUGAUUGAUAUUACCCUUCGAGGAAGUCACGGCUAACUACGUGCCAGCAGCCGCGGUAAGACGUAGGUGGCGAGCGUUAUCCGGAUUGAUUGGGCGUAAAGGGUGCGUAGGCGGCCUGCUAAGUCUGGAGUGAAAGGUACCGGCUCAACCGGUACAGGCUCUGGAAACUGGCGGGCUAGGGGGCAGGAGAGGGCGGGUGAACUCCAUGGGGAGGGGUAAAAAGCGUAGGUAUAUGGAAGAACACCAGUGGCGAAGGCGGCCGCCUGGCAUGUUAACUGACGCUGAGGCACGAAAGCGUGGGGAGCAAAUAGGAUUAGAUACCCGAGUAGUC